AGAACGAACGCUGGCGGCAGGCUUAACACAUGCAAGUCGAACGCCCCGCAAGGGGAGUGGCAGACGGGUGAGUAACGCGUGGGAACCUACCCAAUUCUACGGAACAACUGAGGGAAACUUCAGCUAAUACCGUAUACGCCCUACGGGGGAAAGAUUUAUCGGAGUUGGAUGGGCCCGCGUUGGAUUAGCUAGUUGGUGAGGUAACGGCUCACCAAGGCGACGAUCCAUAGCUGGUCUGAGAGGAUGAUCAGCCACACUGGGACUGAGACACGGCCCAGACUCCGUACGGGAGGCAGCAGGUGGGGAAUAGUGGACAAGUGGGCGACAAGCCUAGACUCCAGCCAUCGGCCGCGUGAGUGAGUGAA
rnacentral:rRNA from 1 species